UACAGAGGGUGCGAGCGUUAAUCGGAAUUACGUGGGCGUAAAGCGUGCGUAGACGGUUAUUUAAAGUCCGGGGUGUCGAAAGCCCCGGGCUCAACCUGGGAAUUGCAUUCGAGACUGAAUAGCUAGGGUACGGUAGAGGGAAGCGGAAUUUCCGGUGUAGCGGUGAAAUGCGUAGAUAUCGGAAGGAACAUCAGUGGCGAAAGCGGCUUCCUGGACCAGUACCGACGUCAGGCACGAAAGCGUGGGGAGCGAACAGGAUUAGAACCGUACCGUCGUAGA
rnacentral:rRNA from 1 species